AACAGCACGGUGACGCGCUCGUUAUGCUAACCUCAAAAUUUGUUUCAUAUCUUUUUUUGCCCAACUCACGUUCACACGAAUUCCUCUGCAUGUAUAUUUAAAACUUGUUUAGCUCCAAUAGGAGGCAGUAAAGAACAUAAUAAAAUUGAAGUGCUUACUCUUUAUUUAUUAAAUUUUGAGGCACUGAGCGUCUUUAUUCCUCCAAUAGGGGAUAGGCUGGAAUUUUUGGGUAGACUUGAAGAUUUUAAGAGGUAUAGAGAGGUGAUUGUUGAUAUGGUAGAUGAGGAAGUAAUUCUGGGUGCGGAAACUCCAGAAUUUACAGAGAUUCCAGAGUCCUCAAUAGCUGACGCAUCCUCUGAGGCGCCUACAGAGGAUCAGAAUAAGAGG